rnacentral:rRNA from 1 species
AGAGUUUGAUCCUGGCUCAGGAUGAAUGCUGGCGGCGUGUCUAAGGCAUGCAAGUCGAGCGAUUCGAUACCUUUAGCAAUAUCGGUAUCGGAGAGCGGCAAACGGGUGCGUAACACAUUGGUAAUCUGCCUCAUAGUCGGGAACAACUCCGCGAAAGCGGGGCUAAUUCCACGAUGGUCAUGCGGGGACAUAUGUCAUUCGCAUGUAAAGUCGCAAGACGCUAUGAGAGGAACCUAUGGCCUAUCAGCUUGUUGGCGGGGUAACAGCCCACCAAGGCUACGACGGGUAGGGGAUGUGAGAGCAUGAUCCCCCUCACUGGGACUGAGACACUGCCCAGACACCUAUGGGUGGCUGCAGUCGAGAAUUUUCCUCAAUGGGCGAAAGCCUGAAGGAGCGACGCCGCGUGCAGGAUGAAGGGCUUCGGCUCGUAAACUGCUUUUCUCAGGGAAGAACACUGACGGUACCUGAGGAAUAAGAGGUUGCUAACUCUGUGCCAGCAGCAGCGGUGAUACAGAGACCUCAAGCAUUAUCCGGAUUUACUGGGCGUAAAGGGUCCGUAGGUGGCUGUGUGCGUCGGUGGUUAAAUUUUCGGGCUCAACCCGAAAACCGCUAUCGAUACGGCACGGCUAGAGGUCGGAAGAGGCGAGCGGAAUUACCGGUGUAGUAGUAAUAUGCGUUGAUAUCGGUAAGAACGCCAAAUGCGUAGGCAGCUCGCUGGAACGCACCUGACACUCAGGGACGAAAGCGUGGGGAGCGAAAGGGAUUAGAUACCCCUGUAGUCCACGCCCUAAACGAUGGAUGCUAGAUGUCGGGAGUAUCGACCCUCCCGGUGUCGGUGAAAAAAGCUAACGCGUUAAGCAUCCCGCCUGGGGAGUACGGCCGCAAGGCUAAAACUCAAAGGAAUAGACGGGGACCCGCACAAGCAGAGGAACAUGUGGUUUAAUUCGACGGUAAGCGAAGAACCUCACCCAGGCUUGACAUGAUGCUGCAAGCCGCUGGAAACAGUGGCCGCCUUCGAGGGUGCAUCACAGGUGCUGCAUGGUUGCCGUCAGCUCGUGUCGUGAGAUGUACCGUUAAGUCGGGUAACGAGCGCAACCCCUGUCCCGUGUUGAAUGUUCACGGGAGACUGCCUCGGAUAACGGGGAGGAAGGCGGGGACGACGUCAAAUCAGCAUGGCUCUUACGCCUGGGGCCACACACGUGUUACAAUGGCGUUGACAAUGGGUUGCCAAGUCGUAAGGCGGAGCUAAUCCCACCAAACAACGCCCCAGUUCGGAUUGAGGGCUGAAACUCGCCCUCAUGAAGCCGGAUUUGCUAGUAACGGCGGAUCAGCUACGCCGCCGUGAAUACGUUCUCGGGUCUUGUACUCACCGCCCGUCACGUCAAGAGAGUUGGAAACGCCCGAAGGUCCCGUUGAGGGAACGAAGGUGGAAUCAGCGAUAGGGACGAAGUCGUAACAAGGCAUGUGUAGCGGAAGCUGCGCAUG